rnacentral:SRP_RNA from 1 species
CCGGCGGGAGCCCCGGGGGGCUAGCCCUCCCCUAUAACCGCAAACGGGCUCACGGCGGGGGGCGUAAACCUACGGGGGCGCCUGCGGCGGUAUACAGCUGGCCCGCACACCUACUAAUGCUCCCUGGGCCUGCGGGACACCCCGCUCUGUGCUAAACCCCUCGUAGGAGGGGUGAAGCACAGGAAAGCCGAAACGGGUUAGGCCCGGGAGGGAGCGGCCCUAAGGCUGGCGGGGUGUGUUCGUAGCAACCCAGGGUAAGAGGUAGGUGAUGCGGGUUAGCUGUAUACCGCCCGGCCACCCUGGAGGGACGCCGCCGG